GACUCGUCACACUAUCAUUAACUGAAUCCAUAGGUUAAUGAGGCGAACCGGGGGAACUGAAACAUCUAAGUACCCCGAGGAAAAGAAAUCAACCGAGAUUCCCCCAGUAGCGGCGAGCGAACGGGGAGGAGCCCAGAGCCUGAAUCAGCAUGUGUGUUAGUGGAAGCGUCUGGAAAGGCGCGCGAUACAGGGUGACAGCCCCGUACACAAAAGCGCAUGUGCUGUGAGCUCGAUGAGUAGGGCGGGACACGUGGUAUCCUGUCUGAAUAUGGGGGGACCAUCCUCCAAGGCUAAAUACUCCUGACUGACCGAUAGUGAACCAGUACCGUGAGGGAAAGGCGAAAAGAACCCCGGCGAGGGGAGUGAAAAAGAACCUGAAACCGUGUACGUACAAGCAGUGGGAGCACAGGUUUACCUGUGUGACUGCGUACCUUUUGUAUAAUGGGUCAGCGACUUAUAUUCUGUAGCAAGGUUAACCGAAUAGGGGAGCCGGAGGGAAACCGAGUCUUAAUUGGGCGUUAAGUUGCAGGGUAUAGACCCGAAACCCGGUGAUCUAGCCAUGGGCAGGUUGAAGGUUGGGUAACACUAACUGGAGGACCGAACCGACUAAUGUUGAAAAAUUAGCGGAUGACCUGUGGCUGGGGGUGAAAGGCCAAUCAAACCGGGAGAUAGCUGGUUCUCCCCGAAAGCUAUUUAGGUAGCGCCUCGUGAAUUCAUCUCCGGGGGUAGAGCACUGUUUCGGCUAGGGGGCCAUCCCGGCUUACCAACCCGAUGCAAACUGCGAAUACCGGAGAAUGUUAUCACGGGAGACACACGGCGGGUGCUAACGUCCGUCGUGAAGAGGGAAACAACCCAGACCGCCAGCUAAGGUCCCAAAGUCAUGGUUAAGUGGGAAACGAUGUGGGAAGGCCCAGACAGCCAGGAUGUUGGCUUAGAAGCAGCCAUCAUUUAAAGAAAGCGUAAUAGCUCACUGGUCGAGUCGGCCUGCGCGGAAGAUGUAACGGGGCUAAACCAUGCACCGAAGCUGCGGCAGCGACGCUGAUGCGUUGUUGGGUAGGGGAGCGUUCUGUAAGCCUGUGAAGGUGGCCUGUGAGGGUUGCUGGAGGUAUCAGAAGUGCGAAUGCUGACAUAAGUAACGAUAAAGCGGGUGAAAAGCCCGCUCGCCGGAAGACCAAGGGUUCCUGUCCAACGUUAAUCGGGGCAGGGUGAGUCGACCCCUAAGGCGAGGCCGAAAGGCGUAGUCGAUGGGAAACGGGUUAAUAUUCCCGUACUUGGUGUUACUGCGAAGGGGGGACGGAGAAGGCUAUGUUGGCCGGGCGACGGUUGUCCCGGUUUAAGCGUGUAGGUGUGUGUUCCAGGUAAAUCCGGUUCACUUUAACACUGAGGCGUGACGACGAGGCACUACGGUGCUGAAGCAACAAAUGCCCUGCUUCCAGGAAAAGCCUCUAAGCAUCAGGUAACAUCAAAUCGUACCCCAAACCGACACAGGUGGUCAGGUAGAGAAUACCAAGGCGCUUGAGAGAACUCGGGUGAAGGAACUAGGCAAAAUGGUGCCGUAACUUCGGGAGAAGGCACGCUGACACGUAGGUGAAGUGAUUUACUCAUGGAGCUGAAGUCAGUCGAAGAUACCAGCUGGCUGCAACUGUUUAUUAAAAACACAGCACUGUGCAAACACGAAAGUGGACGUAUACGGUGUGACGCCUGCCCGGUGCCGGAAGGUUAAUUGAUGGGGUCAGCGCAAGCGAAGCUCCUGAUCGAAGCCCCGGUAAACGGCGGCCGUAACUAUAACGGUCCUAAGGUAGCGAAAUUCCUUGUCGGGUAAGUUCCGACCUGCACGAAUGGCGUAAUGAUGGCCAGGCUGUCUCCACCCGAGACUCAGUGAAAUUGAACUCGCUGUGAAGAUGCAGUGUACCCGCGGCAAGACGGAAAGACCCCGUGAACCUUUACUAUAGCUUGACACUGAACAUUGAGCCUUGAUGUGUAGGAUAGGUGGGAGGCUUUGAAGUGUGGACGCCAGUCUGCAUGGAGCCGGCCUUGAAAUACCACCCUUUAAUGUUUGAUGUUCUAACGUGGACCCGUGAUCCGGGUUGCGGACAGUGUCUGGUGGGUAGUUUGACUGGGGCGGUCUCCUCCUAAAGAGUAACGGAGGAGCACGAAGGUUGGCUAAUCCUGGUCGGACAUCAGGAGGUUAGUGCAAUGGCAUAAGCCAGCUUGACUGCGAGCGUGACGGCGCGAGCAGGUGCGAAAGCAGGUCAUAGUGAUCCGGUGGUUCUGAAUGGAAGGGCCAUCGCUCAACGGAUAAAAGGUACUCCGGGGAUAACAGGCUGAUACCGCCCAAGAGUUCAUAUCGACGGCGGUGUUUGGCACCUCGAUGUCGGCUCAUCACAUCCUGGGGCUGAAGUAGGUCCCAAGGGUAUGGCUGUUCGCCAUUUAAAGUGGUACGCGAGCUGGGUUUAGAACGUCGUGAGACAGUUCGGUCCCUAUCUGCCGUGGGCGCUGGAGAACUGAGGGGGGCUGCUCCUAGUACGAGAGGACCGGAGUGGACGCAUCACUGGUGUUCGGGUUGUCAUGCCAAUGGCACUGCCCGGUAGCUAAAUGCGGAAGAGAUAAGUGCUGAAAGCAUCUAAGCACGAAACUUGCCCCGA
rnacentral:rRNA from 1 species